UGGCUUUUAGUAUAAUGGUUAGAAUGCGUCAUUGUCAUUGACGAGAUAGCGGUUCGAUUCCCCUAAAGCCAG